AGGUGCUGCAUGGCUGUCGUCAGCUCGUAUCGUGAGAUGUUGGGUUAAGUCCCGCAACGAGCGCAACCCCUAUCCUUAGUUGCCACCAUUCAGUUGGGCACUCUAUAGAGACUGCCGNCGUUAAACCGGAGGAAGGNGGGGAUGACGUCAAGUCAUCAUGGCCUUUAUGUCCAGGGCUACACACGUGCUACAAUGGU
rnacentral:rRNA from 1 species